ACUAUGCUGACGCAGGAGGGAUCAUUA
rnacentral:rRNA from 1 species